GAGAUUUUCAAGCACAUCUAGGAAGUAUUUCAAAAGGUAAUUUAGGAAAAAUUUCAAAAGAUAAUCUUUAGGCCCUUCACAUGCUCCUAUCUUCCAGGUUCUGGAAGCAGCUAUCGCAAGUGCUUAAAUGUUCCUCCUGUGACUCUGUGACUGUCCAAAGUCCCUGUUUCCAGUUCAGCUUUCUUUGAAAAGCCCUUGAGCUUUAAUAUCACCAUCAUGCCUCAUUAAAACUCCUAUUCACUGGGUGCAGAAGACUGCUUAUUACUGAAAGUAAUUUGACUAAAACAUAAAUACUGCAAAAUCUGUCUACAUACGUCUCUUUGAAACAACCUGAACUCUUCUCUCAAUAUAAAAUUGAGGUGAAAUACCAAAUUAAGGCACAUGGGUCCGUUAUUGCCAAAGUGAUGGAUUUCCUGACAACCAUUCCACCCAGAAGAUUUUUUUUCCCAGAACUAAUAAUCCCAUCCCCGUUGCUGGUGAUUAACUUAAUAACGAGCAUGACAAUCAACAAACAGAUUGAAAAGGCAACCUACUCAGAAUGGGAGAAAAUAUGAAACCAUAUACCAGAGAUGAAAGUAAUAUCCAGAAUAUAUAAAGAAUUCCUACAACUUGAUAACAAAAACACCCCAAUCUAAAAAUGGACACAGAAUUUAAAUAGACAUUUCUCCAAUGAAGAUGGCCACCACACAUGUGAAAAGAUGCUCAACAUCACUAAUCAUCAAGGGAAAUGCAAAUCAAAACCACAAUAGCACAAUGAGAUAUCAUUUCAGACCCCGUAUGAUGUUAGGAUGGCUACUUUCAAAAAAACAGAAAAUAAGUGUUGGUAAGGAAACACCUGCACACUGUUGAUGGGAUUAUAAAAUGGGCAGCCACUAUGGAAAAUAGUAUGGAGGUUCCUAAAAAAACUGCAAUUAGAAUUCCCAUAUGAUCCAGUCAUCUCCUACUGCAUAUAUAUCCAAAAGAAUUGAAAGCAGGAUCUUGAAAAGAUAUCUGCUCUCCUAUGUUCAUGCAGCAUUAUUCACAACAGCCAAGAUGUAGAGGUGAUUCAAAUGUCCAUCAGUGAAUGAAUAGAUAAAGAAAUGUGGUAUAUACAUACAAUGGAAUCUUAGCCUAAAAAAGAAAGAAUUCCUGUCAUAUGCUACAGCAUGGAUGAACCUUGAGGACCUUAUGGAGCGGUCCUAAUCUGCAUAUCCAAGAGCAAUGUAUGUGAACCUACGUUUCCACAGCCUCACCCACAGAAUGUGUGCUCAAACAUUUGGAUUUUUGCCCAUCUACUAGAUCUCACCCCACAGGCCUUGGAAACCUGAGGCAGUAUUCUUCUGGGAUGUUUCCAACUAGGCUUCCCAUGAGGAUGUUAGAGCCAGCCUGGCUGGUGAAUUUUACUUCUCUCACCUCUCAGAGGUAAGAGGUCUGAGAGGCUCAGGCCCUUCCAGCUUUUGAGGAUUCCAGCAUAGUAGAAACAUAAAAAGGUCCAAAGGGAAUUACAAAAAUAAUCUAUUUUCAGUUCUUAUACUUAACAAGUCAAUUCUUAUUAAAAAAAUAAAUCAAUCAAACUUUUGUUUGAUAUAAUUAUAGAUUCCAAGGAAGUUGUAAAGAUAGUACAGGAGGUCCCUGUGCAUCUUUCACCCAGUUUCCUCCAGUUUUAUGCCACUAGAGUACAAUAUCCAAACCAGGACAUUGACAUUGGAGCCAUAUGCAUGUAUAUUUCCAUGUCAUUUUAUCUCAUGUGUAUGCUCAUGUACCCAUCACUUCAAUCAGGUUAGAGACUAGACCAUCCCUCAUGCUGCCCUCUGAACUACCAACCCUAACCCGUGGAGGUCAUUAAUCUGUUCUUUAUCACUACAAUUUGGUCAUUUUGAGAAUGAAUAAAAUCACACAGUAAUGCAAGCCUUUUGAGACUAGCAUUUUUUCACUCAGCAUAACAUACUUAAGAUCCAUCAAUAAUUCUUCCAUUUUAUUGCCGAGCGGUAUUCUACAGUAUAGAUAUACUAAAGUUUAACUCUUCAUCUAAGGUAGGACAUUUUGGUUGUUUCCAGUUUUGGCUAUUACAAAUAAAGCUUCUAUGAGUAUUCACCUACA
rnacentral:lncRNA from 1 species